AACGAACGCUGGCGGCAGGCCUAACACAUGCAAGUCGAGCGCGCCUUCGGGUGAGCGGCGACGGGUUAGUAACGCGUGGGAACGUGCCCUUCUCUACGGAAUAGCCUCUGGAAACGGAGAGUAAUACCGUAUACGCCCUUUGGGGGAAAGAUUUUAUCGGAGAAGGAUCGGCCCGCGUUAGAUUAGGUAGUUGGUGGGGUAAUGGCCUACCAAGUCUACGAUCUAUAGCUGGUUUUAGAGGAUGAUCAGCAACACUGGGACUGAGACACGGCCCAGACUCCUACGGGAGGCAGCAGUGGGGAAUCUUGGGCAAUGGGCGCAAGCCUGAUCCAGCCAUGCCGCGUGAGUGAUGAAGGCCUUAGGGUCGUAAAGCUCUUUCGCCAGAGAUGAUAAUGACAGUAUCUGGUAAAGAAACCCCGGCUAACUCCGUG
rnacentral:rRNA from 1 species